GCAAUGAUGUUCAGUUUUUAUUGAAUAUGUUUUAGAGAGGUGUUAAUUUAUUGUAAUGGUCAUUUUGUACUCCUAUAAUAUGUAAUGGUUUCUACACUGCAUUCACCAAUUCACACACAUUUAUACAGCCCUUUCUAUGCCCUGGGCUUCUUAAUCGCACAAAAAUUCACACCCUGAUGGAACAGUGAUCAGAGGCAAUUUGGGGUUCCUCUGUGCCCAAGUACACUUUGACAUGCGGAGCCGUGGAAUAGAACCACCGACCUUCCGAUUAACGGACGACCCGCUUUACCUCCUGAGCCACAGCCGCCCAAAAUGAAAUGGGAUGAACAGAAUAUAAGAAACACCUUUCAGUACAUCCCAGAAUAGUUUAACAGCAGCACUAAUUACAGCCUCCAAAAUUACCAUUCAAAUCAUUUUUUAUAAUUUUUUUUCGGGACACACACAGAACAGACAGCUAGCAGACUGUAAGUUGAUGUACACAAAAAGUGUAUUGAAUUAAAAAUUGUAAAUGGGAAAUAAACGUAAACUUUUUGUAGACUUCAGGGAAUAUCUCCUCGCAGUCUGCGAGCCAGAAGCCAGCGAGUGCGAAAGAGAUGGUAAAUCAAGUGCAUUCGAACAUGCUACACAAUAGAGAAGUUAUCCUAUGAAGUGUGGGUUCUGCAGUUGUCUCAGCUCAAGUCAACAAGAUCUAUUGAGCCGUAGACUACGACACGGAAGAGCUCACUGGCCCUGUGUUGCAUUAAACACACUUUACCAGAUCA